AAGAAUUAAAUGGAUGAAAUAUGAAGUUUUAUUAAAAGAAAAAGGGGUGAAAAGAACAAAGUUUUGUCCAUCUUUGUUCAUCAUAGCUGAAAGUUAGAGAAGAGAAAGGAGAGGAGAAAGCUCUUGAGUAUUCGGUCAUUAGGAGGAGGAAAAUUGAAGGCGGUUCGUGUGUGGAUCUCGUCAGCAUAUCGUCGCAAGCAGGUGUGUAACUAACACCCUCUUUCUUAGUCUAGAUCGGCAAAAGCCGAAAAGCCGAAAUGUCGAAAACCGGUAUUUUGUAGAUUUGCGAGUGUGCGAAUGCUCGUGAGGUAAAUCGAUUAAUGUUUUUGGUAAGCUGCAAUGUUUGGACUGCAAAGUGCAUGAUUUCUGUGCCCUCGAUAUUUUUGGGCUUAAUGGGCCAAAAUUGGAAUGAUGGGCCAACGGGCCCAAUUCGGUAAGAACCCUCGGUACGUGAUUCUGUUAGUACGUGAAAAGUAGGAAUAUGCAUGAAAAACCCUAAAAUAGAUAAAUUACUGAAAUACCU